AUUGUAUUCCUGAAGCAAGAUAGCAGCUCUUGAACAUUUAAAGAGUUAAUCAAAUGUUCUUGUACCUUUUCUUUUUUUGUGCAAUAUCAUGCAAAAUCCAGGGGUGAUUCUACUUUCAGAUAUAACAAGCAACAUAUUGAGCAGAUUACAAACUGGAUAAAAAAUUUCGUAAGUAUACAACUGACUUUGGAGCCCAAGUUGCAAUAACUUCAGAACAAAGACAGAUUGCUCCAUUAGCAUUUUUAUCCUCUUGUUAGCUAUUCAUUCAGUACUUUGUCCUGAAAAUUCAUACCAUCUUCUCUGUGACAAAGUUGAAAACUAGUAGCAAGUUUCAAUUCUAAGAAAAAAAUUAACUUGAUGUUGCUCAAAUUUCACUUUUAUUUGUCCACAUUUCUUUGUAAACAGAGGCCUUGCUAUUGUAGAGCAGUGUGAUGUUUUUUGCUAUGACUUGUAAACACCAAUUUAAUAUGGUCGUAAUUUAUUUAUAACACUUCUGUGCUUAACAUGCAAACUUCAAAAUCACUCUCUGAGACUCAGAGUACAAAACAGAACUGGUUACAGUUGCAGGAAAAGGCAAGUGUCUUUAAAAUGUGACUAGGCAACUUCCACCUCCACCACCAAAGGCAAACUAAAUUGGUGUCAUAUGUUACCAUCUAAAUUUGUGCUUGCCCACAUCUUCAACAUUACAUGCAGCUCUCAUUCCCCUAGGAAAGAUAAUAACAAAAAAUCAGAUAGGGGAAGCAAAGAUGAUUACAGGAGUGGAAUGUUUUCAAGCAAAGAAUGACUAAGUAAACAAGGACUUUUCAGCUUGGAAAGGAGAUGACAGGAGCCAGAGUGAAAACAAAUGCUAAAAGAUGGCACUUAAAAUAAGGAGCAAUAGACUUGUUGAACUCCUUUCUAGAGGACAUAAUAGAUUCUAAAUUUUACAUGGGCUCAAGGGAAGGUGGGAGGGGGGGUUUGAAAAAAAAAGGUAAUGGAAAAGAAAUCUAUUUAGAUUUGCUAAAUAUGUCUAACUCACUCCUGAGACUGGGAAAGUGACCAGAGAAAGAAUCCUAUUUUUACCCUGUUCUUACUGUUUGCUAAGUGUUUAUGUAUGGCAACUACUGGAAACUGCAUACUGAGUUGACUCGUUCUUUGCUCUGACCAUGUACAGCCCUUUUUUUCUUCUUAUAAUCUUAAAAUGACUCUUCCUUUGUAUUCACUGGAAAACUUAUUUUGUCUUCACUGAAUUAUGUUAGGUCCUUAAACAAACUCAUAUCUUCCUAAUACUUGAAGUCUUAUUUCUUCCUAACUCAUGUCCUGAUGAGGUAAUUUCAUUCUGAAGAAGUCACUGGUAGAAAAAUAGGCAUUUCUCUUUUUCUUCUUUUUUUCACUUUUUCAAGGUAUUAAUUUGGAGGAGAAAUACCAGUGGAAAUGUGGUAGCUGUGAGGCUCCAAAAUGUCCAGCCCUAAUUCAUCUGUUUUAGGGUAUGUGCUUGAGGGAAAAUGGGCUAAGACCCAUGUCCCUCAGACCUGUAAUCUCCGCUCUCUUUAUCAAAUGGAGUAGAAUUUAUAACUGUAGGGAUCUCAAGAGUGCUUUUCUCAUACCCACCCGUCUUGCUGGUGGCCCAAAUUUAGCUUCAGAAAGCUGGAGGCAAGACAGCUGUAAGCUGGCUCAUACACAUUAAAACAGGCAUACAUCAGCUUUAAGAGCUGGAGUGAAACUCUACUGACUUUAAAAAUUGCUUAUUCAUUGAGUGUCUGUGGACCGAGUUAUAAAAAGCCAAUAUCAAAUUUGGGCAUACCAGCAGAAGACCUGUAAUUCUGUUACACUGUAAUUUCUGUAACACCUGCUACAGAAAACUUGCUAAGAAUAAGGAAAUGUCACUUAGGACCUUUAUCUUGGAUGAUCAACUCAGUAUCCUCUUUAUCAGGUGAUCCUAUCAUAAAGAAAGCUUGUGAGAGGAAACCAAUGAAGCAUUACAGAUGACAUGGCUUCAGAUACAAGAGAAUGUAGAAAGGGUGCCUCCUGGAAAACAUCUCAGCCUUUAGUAAAGAGUACAUUUUUUUCCAUGUAGGCAGGAGACCUGCUGUUUUCCGCAAGUAUAUGCUUUGCAGUUCCACACAAAGGUUACUCACUCACUUCCUUUAUCUGGCUUGAAAGAUCACUGCAAAUUCAGUUCAGGAUUUUUUUUACUCACAUUUUUUUGCCUGUUUGACUUACUUAGCUGGUCUUUAUAUGAUGUUUUCUUAAAUAACUUCUAAUCUCAUUGCUGAUCUUAUAUAACUAGGUCUUACAUUCAGCUGGCCUGUACCGAAACACAAGCUGCAUUGUGCGUUCAUGCAGCAGAGAAGACAGCCAAGGACUGCCAUGCACUUUAAAAGGAAAUGAACCAACUACUGAAAGCAACAGACUGCUACUACCUGUCAAAUUACGUUGUCUUUACUUUCUAACAUAUGGAGUGACAAUCGUCAACUUCAGUGAUGUCCAAUUCAAAACUUUACUUCAAUGUCACCUGGAUAGGUUUCGAAUUCAAGCAUAUUACCUUUAAUUCUGAAUUUAAAUUCAGAAUCUUUGAAGAAGACUGAGCUGAAACUGCUAGGGUUUUACAGUUUCAGCAUUUGAAAGCAGUGCAGGUAUCAUCCUUUUUUAUUGUGCUCUGUAGAACAAAAUGCUCUACCAUUGGCAAGUCUCUUCGGGAUAUGAUUACCUUAUGAGAUCUGGGACUCAUCCCAGGUUCUAGGAUGUGGGUACAGGAUGCAGCCAUGAGAUAAACCUGGAUAUGUAUAUUCAGAGCUCAUGUAAAAGUGCCCUGAAUAGAAACCAGCCCCAAGAUACUACCAGAUGGCCCAGCACAUAGGUAUGGACAUAGCCUAAGAUACCUAAUUUCUCUCAAAACCAUAGCAGGCAUGCUAAACAAAAAUCCUUUAUCAUUAUGCUUUUAGUCAGGUCUUCAAAGAAAGCUGGAAAUCGAAGCUUAACAACCACUAGGCCUAUCUUUCAAUCUUUUAAAUCUCUGUGAUCUAUUUUGUUAUCAAUAGGUUUUUUCACUAUUCAGAUACCCAAAGCAUAGAAAAAGGUACCCAGCUAAUUCUUACACAGCUUUUAGAUAAAUAUACAAUAUCCUUCUUCAUUUAUUAUCAGAACAGGGGCUGCCAUAGUGCCUUGUAAGAGAACAAAGCAGUAUGUAGUUCAAGUGCCAGUCAGUAUUUUCCUUUUGUGUUUCUGAUUGUAAGCUGAUUACACAACACUAAUGAGAGCUUUUAUUUAUUUAUCUGAAUGAACAGAAGACAAAGCACAGAAAGCAAAAGAGGUUAAAUCUUUAAAGAGAUCACUUUUCCUGCUCCUAAUGGGGCUGUGGACAGUGCUCCUUUUUCAAAUACAGAAGGAAAGCAGGAAAGGACGGUGGAGGCAUGAGGAAGGGACAUAAUGCAUUUCACAGGCUGAGUUUUAUGGCAGCUAUCUUCUGGCUCACCUCCCAGAUGCUCUGCCAUCCUGUCAUCAAGAUGAAAUCUCUGCCACACAGACAUUUCUUCUGC
ensembl:lncRNA